rnacentral:rRNA from 1 species
ACGGGGGGUGCAAGCGUUAUUCGGAAUUAUUGGGCGUAAAGGGCGCGUAGGCGGUCUUGUCGGUCAGAUGUGAAAGCCCAGGGCUCAACCCUGGACGUGCAUUUGAAACAGCAAGACUUGAAUACUGGAGAGGAGAGCGGAAUUCCUGGUGUAGAGGUGAAAUUCGUAGAUAUCAGGAGGAACACCGAUGGCGAAGGCAGCUCUCUGGACAGAUAUUGACGCUGAGGCGCGAAGGCGUGGGUAGCGAACAGG